rnacentral:piRNA from 1 species
AGAAAGAUACACAGGGACCCC